UGGGGAAUAUUGCACAAUGGGCGCAAGCCUGAUGCAGCAACGCCGCGUGAACGAUGAAGGUCUUCGGAUCGUAAAGUUCUGUUGCAGGGGAAGAUAAUGACGGUACCCUGUGAGGAAGCCCCGGCUAACUACGUGCCAGCAGCCGCGGUAAUACGUAGGGGGCUAGCGUUAUCCGGAUUUACUGGGCGUAAAGGGUGCGUAGGUGGUCCUUCAAGUCGGUGGUUAAAGGCUACGGCUCAACCGUAGUAAGCCGCCGAAACUGGAGGACUUGAGUGCAGGAGAGGAAAGUUGAAUUCCCAGUGUGGCGGUGAAAUGCGUAGAUAUUGGGAGGAACACCAGUAGCGAAGGCGGCUUUCUGGACUGCAACUGACACUGAGGAACGAAAGCGUGGGUAGCAAACAGG
rnacentral:rRNA from 1 species